rnacentral:tRNA from 1 species
GCCUGCUGGGCGUCGCGUUGGCGCUGUCUGCCUUCGCCAGUCAGGCUGAAAGUGAACGUCAGGCGAGCCGCGAGCGGAUCGUGGAGCAGGUCC